AAGUGACUCUAAAAAUUUCUCACCAUUUAAACACUGUGUGGCGCUAAAUGUGAGAAAAUGUUGUAUUUUACAGCAUGUGCUGCUUUACAAACGGCGCCCAAUCGGCUGGGGUCACCCUAUGCAGAGUCCUGACCACCCUGGAUGGACCUCAACCCGAUGCAACCACUGCAUCACAGCUGCUCCCGACGUGCAGAACCUUUCCUGCUCUGCGACUGCACUUCCGGACACUAGAUGAGUGUCUGUCAAAAGCAGAUGGAGCACAUCCAAGCCUCAAGCAGGAGAAGCAAGUGUCCUCCAACGACAGCGUGCGACGACACUGCAGCAAUACAGGGAAUGUUACUUUCAGUUGUCAUUUAAAAGAAAAUCUAACCUAUUGAAAUGUACUAGUCGUACUGCAACUGCUUCAUCAAAGCAUUAAAUUAGCCACUGUUUUCCUACAAUUGGUUGAAAAAAAAAAAAAGUUAAUUCCAAUAAAAAAAUAUAGUGCACGAUCUUGUUUCAGUGCCAUUGAAAGUGAUGGAUCUCCAAUCCAUUUUGACUGGGAGGGUGUUGGCCAGCCUUCCCAGUUUCAUGGAUUGGACUUUUGCUUUUUUUUCAAAUAACGAGUGGAUGAUUAUCCAUUUAAUAUUCGUGAAUAGCAUUGGUUUAAAUCAUGAAUGAAAUGCAAAUAAAGUAUCACAAAAUGUUCCAAGGACAAUGGAAACAUUGAUGCAUAUACUUUUUCAGGAGCAUCAAUCUCCAAUGAUGCCGAACGCAACGGCGGGAUCGGUCCAACUCGCCCAGCCACAGUCGACCUGAUCUGGGGAUAACUUCACUUAAUAUCAGGGUUCAUUUUUAAACCGCUACCACCUCUGCUGGAUAACCUAGUGACAUGAGCCUGUUCGCAUUUCCAAAACGGUCCAGGUUGGAUGGAUCGCAUCAACAGG